rnacentral:piRNA from 1 species
UGUGACUUGCUUUCUCUUAUAUAGGUA